GACAGAGGGUGCGAACGUUGUUCGGAAUUACUGGGCGUAAAGCGCGUGUAGGCUGUCACGCAAGUCGGGUGUGAAAGCCCGGGGCUGAACCCCGGAAGUGCACUCGAAACUGCAUGACUUGAGUCUCGGAGAGGGCGGCGGAAUUCUGGGUGUAGAGGUGAAAUUCGUAGAUAUCCAGAGGAACACCGGUGGCGAAGGCGGCCGCCUGGACGAGCACUGACGCUGAGACGCGAAAGCGUGGGGAGCAAACAGG
rnacentral:rRNA from 1 species